UACGGAGGGAGCUAGCGUUGUUCGGAAUUACUGGGCGUAAAGCGCACGUAGGCGGCUUUGUAAGUUAGAGGUGAAAGCCUGGGGCUCAACUCCAGAAUUGCCUUUAAGACUGCAUCGCUUGAAUCAUGGAGAGGCGAGUGGAAUUCCGAGUGUAGAGGUGAAAUUCGUAGAUAUUCGGAGGAACACCAGUGGCGAAGGCGGCUCACUGGUCCAUUACUGACGCUGAGGUGCGAAAGCGUGGGGAGCAAACAGG
rnacentral:rRNA from 1 species